ACGCACGCUGGCGGCGUGCCUAAUCCCUGCACGUAGCACGCUGAAGGAAGAGCUUGCUUCUCUGGAUGAGUUGCGAACGGGUGAGUAACGCGUAGGUAACCUGCCUGGUAGCGGGGGAUAACUAUUGGAAACGAUAGCUAAUACCGCAUAAUAGUAGAUGUUGCAUGACAUUUGCUUAAAAGGUGCAAUUGCAUCACUACCAGAUGGACCUGCGUUGUAUUAGCUAGUUGGUGAGGUAACGGCUCACCAAGGCGACGAUACAUAGCCGACCUGAGAGGGUGGUCGGCCACACUGGGACUGAGACACGGCCCAGACGCCUACGGGAGGCAGCAGUAGGGAAUCUUCGGCAAUGGACGGAAGUCUGACCGAGCAACGCCGCGUGAGUGAAGAAGGUUGUCGGAUCGUAAAGCUCUGUUGUAAGAGAAGAACGAGUGUGAGAGUGGAAAGUUCACACUGUGACGGUAUCUUAACAGAAAGGGACGGCUAACUACGUG
rnacentral:rRNA from 1 species